rnacentral:rRNA from 1 species
CCCCCCCGGGGAGGCAACAUGGGGGGAAUUUUGGCACAAUGGGGAAAAACCCUUUAACCAACACACCGCCGUGGUAAAAAAAAAAAGCCCCUUGGGGGGUGAAAACCUUUUUUCCCCGGGGAAAUAAAAAACGGGGGCCCCAAAAAAAAAACCCGGGUCUAUUUUUUGCCACCACACCCGGGGAUAUAAAAAAAAAAAAAAGUGUUCCCCCACAAACCCCCGCGCAUAAAGCGCGUAGAGGGGGUUCUAAAAGUCAGGUAAAAAUCCUGGGUCUCAUCUGAGGAUCUGCCUUUGACACUGGAGCUCUAGAGUGGGAGAGAGGAGAGUGAAAUUCCGAGUGUAGGGGUAAAAUGUAUAUAUAUUGGGAAACACCCCAGUGGAAAAGGGGGCUCUGGGGCCCGACUCUGACUCUGAGGCAAAAAAGCGUGGGGACAAACAGUUUUAUAUCCCGGGGAGCCCCGUACACAAGGAGGACUUGGAGGGAUAAAGACAGUGCCGAUUCUCUCUUUUUAU